GAUGAACGCUGGCGGCGUGCCUAAUACAUGCAAGUCGAGCGAACGGACGAGAAGCUUGCUUCUCUGAUGUUAGCGGCGGACGGGUGAGUAACACGUGGAUAACCUACCUAUAAGACUGGGAUAACUUCGGGAAACCGGAGCUAAUACCGGAUAAUAUUUUGAACAGCAUGGUUCAAAAGUGAAAGACGGUCUUGCUGUCACUUAUAGAUGGAUCCGCGCUGCAUUAGCUAGUUGGUAAGGUAACGGCUUACCAAGGCAACGAUGCAUAGCCGACCUGAGAGGGUGAUCGGCUACACUGGAUCUGAGACACGGUCCCGACUCCUGCGGGAGGCAGCAGUAGGGACUCUUCCGCAAUGCGCGAGAGCCUGACGGAGCAACGCCGCGUGAGUCAUGAAGGUCUUCGGAUCGUAAGACUCUGUUAUUAGGGAAGAACAUAUGUGUAAGUACCUGUGCACAUCUUGACGGUACCUAAUCAGAUAGCCACGGCUAACUACGUG
rnacentral:rRNA from 1 species